rnacentral:rRNA from 1 species
UACAGAGGUCUCAAGCGUUGUUCGGAUUCAUUGGGCGUAAAGGGUGCGUAGGUGGCGCGCUAAGUCAGGUGUGAAAUUUCGGAGCUUAACUCCGAAACUGCAUUUGAUACUGGCGUGCUUGAGGACUGGAGAGGAGACUGGAAUUCACGGUGUAGCAGUGAAAUGCGUAGAGAUCGGGAGGAACAUCAGUGGCGAAGGCGGCGACCUGGACAAGUAUUGACACUCAACUACGAAAGCAUGGGGAGCAAACAGG